rnacentral:rRNA from 1 species
GACGAACGCUGGCGGCGUGCUAAUACAUGCAAGUGGGACGCAAGGGAACACACUGUGCUUGCACACCGUGUUUUCUUGAGUCGCGAACGGGUGAGUAACGCGUAGGUAACCUGCCUAUUAGCGGGGGAUAACUAUUGGAAACGAUAGCUAAUACCGCAUAAUAUUAAUUAUUGCAUGAUAAUUGAUUGAAAGAUGCAAGCGCAUCACUAGUAGAUGGACCUGCGUUGUAUUAGCUAGUUGGUAAGGUAAGAGCUUACCAAGGCGACGAUACAUAGCCGACCUGAGAGGGUGAUCGGCCACACUGGGACUGAGACACGGCCCAGACUCCUACGGGAGGCAGCAGUAGGGAAUCUUCGGCAAUGGACGAAAGUCUGACCGAGCAACGCCGCGUGAGUGAAGAAGGUUUUCGGAUCGUAAAGCUCUGUUGUAAGUCAAGAACGUGUGUGAGAGUGGAAAGUUCACACAGUGACGGUAGCUUACCAGAAAGGGACGGCUAACUACGUGCCAGCAGCCGCGGUAAUACGUAGGUCCCGAGCGUUGUCCGGAUUUAUUGGGCGUAAAGGGAGCGCAGGCGGUCAGGAAAGUCUGGAGUAAAAGGCUAUGGCUCAACCAUAGUGUGCUCUGGAAACUGUCUGACUUGAGUGCAGAAGGGGAGAGUGGAAUUCCAUGUGUAGCGGUGAAAUGCGUAGAUAUAUGGAGGAACACCAGUGGCGAAAGCGGCUCUCUGGUCUGUCACUGACG